UCAUGCAUGUCAUAUUUUCUUGCAUUUUGUCGAUCCUAGAAAUUUCACGCAACUCAAGGACCCUCGGAGAGAGUUGGAGAUUUCGUCAUUUUCAUAUUUGAGCUUUCGCAAAUUUUGAAAAGAGGAUCAUUGGAUUUGUCGGAGUUCAUUUGCCUUUCAUUUGGAUAGGGAAAAUGCGUGUUUUCAAAAUUUGCAUUCUAGGUCCCGAGAAAAGUUCAUUUUGUUCGACUCAUUUUUAGGAGUCGGGGAAAAUUUACUUUGGUAGUUUUGGCGUUCGUUUAGAUUUUCUUUUCUGUGUUUUUCUGCGCGCGAGACCGUUUAAAAAAAAUUCGCAGCGCCUGGGCCAAGGCCCAAGCCGCCGGCCAGGCCGGCUCCUCUCCCCCGCGCACGCGCCUAGCGCGCCAGGCCGCCGCCGCCGCCACUAGGCAAGAGUCCUAGUAGGACUCUCCUCUCCUCUUUCCUCUCCUUCUCUUUUUCUUGCCCCCUCCCCCAAGUUUCCUCUCCCCUCACCUAUAUAAAUACCAACACCCCCCUAAAACCCACACCAAGCCCCAAGCCCCCAAGCCGCGCCCCUCACCCCGCGCCGCGCCGCCCUUGUGCCGCCGCCGCCACCCCAUUGCACCGCCACCGCCUUACGUCGCAGCCGCCGCCCAACGCCACCGUUCACCGGAGCCCCGUUCGCCGGAACCUCGCCGAGGUAGCCGCGCCGCGUCUCUCCUAUCCCCUCGGUUCGGUUUUUCUUAUAAACCGUUCCGGUUCUUUUCUUUUCUUCCGAUUCGUUUUCUUUUCGAUUUUACGUUUCGGUUUUCUUUUCCGAAACCCUAGAUCGGUUUCGUUUUCUUUUCCGGUUUAGUUGCCUAGAGGCCGUUCGCCGGACCGUUCGUCCUAAUGAACAUGAUCACCAGAUUAUCCUAGGUUAACGAACGUCCGUUCGUUCAACCGUUUUUCUUUUUCUUCUCGUCGAAUCUAUUCUGCGAUCGCGAUCUUAGAUCCGAUCUGCGUUCUAGUCUAUCUUCUCGCUCGUUUAUCGGAAUCAGGUGAUUCAAGCGCCUGGAGUUUCGUUUCGAAACCGCCGUUCCGACUAAUCAACUUAAACAAGUUUUUGCUAUGGUAAAAUUUGACCUAGUUUCAACUUGCUAGAACCGAGUUGUUUUCUUCCGCCGUUUGUCUUCUGUUGCUUUGUUCGGUUCUUUCUUUCUUUGCAACCGGAGUUCUUAAGUUGAACUUUCUGGUUCGAUCCCUUGUUCGAGUUUUACCUAUGCAUUAGAUGAGUACUUAUUGUAUGCUUGUUGUUUGUCUGCGAUAGAUUACCCGGAUUGCGCCGCCUGUUACUUCAAAUCCCUAGGACUCGUGGAUCAUCAGCAAGGCAAGUAACACUUUGAUCAUACCUUUUCUACAACCCAGUUUUAUUGCAUUAGAUCAUUCCUCACACAUUGCAUGAUUAGGAUCUAAUUAAAUUGUGGGAUGGGAAGUAGAUGAGGUAGUACCUAUUACCUGUUUACUAUGAAACCUUUGGGAGUUACUUCUACGUUUGCUUAUUAUGCCAUGCUAUGCUAGUAGACGUGGAUUGGGUGAGUGAUAUCCAUGACAGAUGUGAGUGUGAUAAUUUUAAAGGUUUAUCUAAGGUGGCAACUUAAACACACAUCUGGGUGGAUUGAGGCACCUGAUGUCUAUUAGGACUUGCCUGUUUUAUUUUGGACCGCCACCCAGGCUCAAAGGGAUCAUAAGAUCUUUCAUGCUAGAAACUUACGUGUGCAGCCACACGCCAUUAUGGGCUCUGGCAUAGUUGACUAAGUCGUGCGAACUCUUACAGGGUAGACUAGCAGAUUUAGGGGAAAGUAGGUGUACCGGUCUAUCCAUCGUAAGGUGCUAGCGCUUCUGAAAGACUGUGUCUCGGUCAUCCGUUUCUCAAACACCAGUAGUGCGAGAAAUCCAACGGAGGCGAUCGAGUCUUGUGGGGAAAAGUGCGCAAACCUCUGCAGAGUGUAAUAAACUAAUCAUGAUUAGCCGUGUCCCCGGUUAUGGACAUCUUGAGUAUCUAGUACUUGAAUAUCAUGUGAAUCUCAUCAUGUUACUUCUAAAUUAAUAUUGUUGGGUUAUUGAUGACUACUUUUAAUUGGGAUUGAGAAUGCUGUCAACCAUUCUCAAUGUUUAACAACCACCAUGAUAGUUAAAUAAAUUUAUUCCUUUGUAGUAGGGAAAAACUGGCUUUACGCAAAACAGUAACCAUAGAGCUUUCCACCAGCCAAAUAUGCAUAUAGUAUAGCUGUUUCAUUCCAUUACUCUCUAUGUGUUACUUUGCCAGCAUAUUCCAUGUGCUGACCCGUUUUCGGGCUGCAACUUUCAUGUUGCAGACUUUUCAGACGACGAGUAAUGUGCUUUUAGGUCGUGGUUCUAUACUCAGUGAUGCCGUUGGAGUUGAUGGACCCAUUUAUCUUCCAAGUCUUCCGCUGUUAUCGAUAUUAGAUGGCCUUAAGCCAUAUUAUUGUAAUAAGAUCUCUUUUGAGACAUCGUUGUAAUAAGUGUGUGAUUGUCACUCUGCUAUAAAUCCUUUGAAGUACUGUGUGGUGUCAGCAUUACUGAUCCAGGGAUGACAUCGGAGCACAGUAGACUUGAUCCAUUCGGGUCGGGUCGCUAUAGAGAUGGUAUCAGAGCACACGCUGACUGUAGGACACGACCACUAAGUUAAAGCCAUAGAUCACUAUUCUCUCCUCAUUUUCUAACUCCUCAUCUUUUCUACUCUUUAGGAUGAAGGACGCGAAGAUCAAGUACGCUCAACCGGAUGAAGGCACACCUUUUGGAUUUCACUUGAAGGAAGUCACCAAGUAUCUAAACAUUGGAUUACCAAGUUUCACGGGAACCUUCAACGCCACUCUGCCUAAAGAGGAGCGCUGGAAGAUUCAAGCUCACGUUCCGGGAAGGACAUUCGCGCCAAUCACAAAGCCAAUAGAUAGUGUUUUCAAUGCACCAACUUGGAGUCUAGGAAGGAGCAUGGCAGCCCAUAUCACCAUAGGACACAUUGGAGACGUUUAUCAAGAAGACCUCAAGGACACUAUCUACCAGAUUUGCGGACGCCGAGAUGAACAAUGGGAGUUAGUCACCACCAAGAAGGAUAUAUCCAUUGCAGCAUUCAUCCAGGAGUUAAACCAGCACAUUCGAGGCCACGAGAACCAGAUGUGCAAUGAUAUGAUAGAGUUGAAGAAUGCGAAGGCAAGGAUCAUCGAGCUAGAAGGAGAACUAAAGGCUACACGCAAGGACUACAUGGAUGAGAUCGUAGCUCUAGCAAGACACAAUGGCGAUCUUAAGCAAGAGAUUGACGAACUCAAGAGGGAGUUAGCAUCCAAGAAGGAAGACAUGUACGUCGCAUGUCCGGUCAACUACAUCAUCAUCGACGACACCGAUUUGGAUCCAAGUGAACCCGACUUUGAAGACGAAGCUGGAGCGGACAUCAUGGAGUCUUCCACCGGUUCAAAUUUCUAGAUGACCACCAAAUAUUAGUAGUAUUUCCCCCAUGUAAACACUAUAGUUCGAGCACUUUUGCGAUAGUUAGAUCGAUUGUAAGCCCUUGUUUGAUUGAAUGAAGUGAUUUGUGUGCAUUUGCUCAUGUGCAUUGGGGUAGUGUUUUCUCUUUAGACCUCAAUCUAUUCUUAAAUCUCGUCUUUUCUAAACCCUCAGAUGCCUCCGAGACCUGACAAUGGAUUUCCACCGGAGCUCACUCAGUUGAUCCAGCAACAGAAUCAAUUGAUGCAGAUGUUAGUUCAGAAUCAGCAGAACAACAACAACAACCCACCACCACCACCACCCCCUGUUGACCACUUAGAGCGUUUCCUUAGGCUGAAUCCGCCGGUGUUUUCUAGUAGCACCGAGCCGAUAGUAGCAGACAAUUGGCUCCGCAAGAUAGGAAGGGAGUUGACCACUGCAGGAUGCACAGAUGGUGAAAAAGUGAAGUUUGCCGCACAUCAGCUUGAAGGACCCGCGGCAACAUGGUGGGAGAAUUUCACAGCCACCUUCCCAGUCGACACUGUCACAUGGGAUCAGUUCCGGCAAGCUUUCCGCAUUGCACAUGUUUCAGCAGGAGCUAUGGCCAUUAAAAAGCGUGAGUUUCGCAACUUCCGCCAAGGAGGAAGGACAGUUGGCCAGUACGUUGACGACUUCAGCAAGUUAGCAUGUUAUGCCCCAGAUGACGUUGCUACGGAUGCAACUAAGCAGGAGAAGUUCCUGGAAGGAUUGAAUGAUGAGUUGAGUAUGCAGUGGAUGGUAGCAAGUUUCAACAACUACCAGGAGUUGGUAGAUCGUGCCAUCAUGAUUGAAGGGAAGCAACAGCAGAUUGAGAACCGCAAGAGGAAGUAUGGACAGGGGAAGUAUAACUCUGGAACCCAGCAGAAGCCCCGUUUUACCCCUAAAUCGGGAUUUCAGUUUCAGCAUACCCAUGGAGGAGGUAGUUCGCACAACCACAAUGGCCACAAGAAUGGUAAUGGGAAUGGAGGAAGCAACGUCCAGAACCGGACCACCCCAUCAACCCCAUCCAAGAGAGAUCUGAGUCAAGUCACCUGUUUCAAGUGUUCCAAGACCGGACAUUAUGCCAAUGAAUGUCCUGAAGGCCAGAAUGGAAAUGGCAAUGGAAGCUCAGGGAAGAAGCCGAACCCUUUCAAUAGGGGACAGGUGAACCACGUUAACGUGGAGGAGGUUGAAGAUCAGCCUGACGCAGUAAUCGGUAAGUUUUUGGUUAAGUCAUUUACCGCACUUGUUCUUUUCGAUACUGGUGCAUCACAUUCAUACAUAUCAAGGGGAUUUGUGGAAAAAUAUAGCCUGCCCACUAGGAUUCUUAAAACACCUAUGCUAGUAAGUUCGCCAGGAGCAGAAUACAUGGCCAGUCAAGGAUGCUUUCAAGUGCCAUUAAGCAUAGGAAGGCAUGUUUUCCCAACAGAUUUAAUCAUUCUGGAAUCCCAACGUUUGGAUGGAAUUCUCGGUAUGGAUUGGCUGUCGAUGUAUGGAGGAAACAUCAAUUGUGCUAGUAAGACAAUUUUGCUCACAACGCCAGAAGGAAGAAGGAUCAAGUAUGUAUCCCGGCAUGUGCCAAAUAGGACCCAAGUAAAUUGCCUACCAGUGGUAAAGGAUUUUCCUGAUGUAUUUCCUGAAGAGUUGCCAGGCAUGCCACCGGAUAGAGACAUUGAGUUUUUGAUUGAGUUAUUGCCAGGUAUAGGCCCAAUAUCAAGGAGACCGUACCGGAUGCCUGCAAAGGAUUUGGUAGAAAUUAAGAAUCAGAUUAAGGUGUUAUUGGAGAAAGGUUACAUACGCCCAAGUUCUUCGCCUUGGGGAUCACCCGUACUUCUACUGGAGAAGAAGGAUGGAUCAUUAAGGAUGGUUGUUGAUUACCGUGGAUUGAAUGAAGUAACCAUCAAGAACAAGUACCCACUGCCAAUGAUUAAAUGAUCUGUUUGAUCGUUUGCAAGGAGCUAAAGUGUUUUCCAAGAUCGAUUUGCGAUCAGGGUACCACCAGUUGAAGAUUCGAGAACAGGACAUACCUAAGACAGCAUUCACCACAAGAUAUGGAUUGUAUGAGUAUAUCGUUAUGUCAUUUGGAUUGACUAACGCGCCUGCCUAUUUUAUGAACCUGAUGAACAAGGUAUUUAUGGAGUUUUUGGAUAAGUUCGUUGUAGUGUUCAUUGAUGAUAUCCUGGUUUAUUCAAAGAAUGAAGAAGAGCAUAAGGAACAUUUGCGUUUGGUUUGGAGAAACUAAGGGAACAUCAGUUAUAUGCCAAAUUUAGCAAAUGUGAGUUUUGGUUGAAGGAAGUAGGAUUCCUUGGACACGUUAUAUCCGGAGAAGGGAUAGUAGUUGACCCCGCCAAGGUUGAGACCGUAACCGAAUGGGAAGCACCAACGACAGUUGGAGAGAUCCGGAGUUUUCUUGGACUCACAGGAUACUAUCGGAGAUUCAUUGAGAACUUUUCAAAGAUUGCAAAGCCUAUGACAGAGUUGUUGAAGAAGGAUACCAAGUUUAAUUGGACUAAGGAGUGUGAGGCUAGUUUCCAGGAGUUGAAGAAAUGAUUGGUUAUCUCACCAGUGUUGAUUUUGCCAGAUCGGACCAAGGAUUAUGAGGUGUAUUGCGACGCUUCACGUCGAGGACUUGGAGCAGUGCUUAUGCAGGAAGGGAGAGUUGUUUCGUAUGCUUCACGACAACUGAAACCUCAUGAGUUGAAUUACGCCACACAUGAUUUGGAGUUAGUAGCCGUAGUGCAUGCAUUGAAGACAUGGAGACAUUUCCUCAUUGGAAACCAUUGUGAGGUGUACACGGAUCACAAGAGUUUGAAGUACAUUUUCACGUAGAAGGAGUUGAAUCUUAGACAAAGGAGAUGGUUGGAGCUCAUCAAGGAUUAUGAUAUGAGAUUGCAUUACCAUCCCGGAAAAGCUAAUGUAGUAGCUGACGCAUUGAGCCGUAAGAGCCAUGUCAAUACGUUGAUGACAGGAGAAAUACCCAAGGAGUUAGCAGAAAACCUUCGUGAACUAAGUUUAGAGAUAGUUCCGAAAGGCUACGUGGCAGCAUUGGAGAUUCAGUCAACAUUGAUGGAUAAAUCAGAGAGGCUCGGAAAUCUGACAAGGAGAUUGCUUCUAUAAAGAAGAAAAUGAGCGAAGGAAAAGCAAAGGGAUUUCGUGAGGAUGAGCACGAUACCCUAUGGUUUGAGGACCGUGUCUAUGUGCCAAAUGACCCGGAGAUCAGGAAGUUGAUUCUACAAGAGGCACAUGAUUCACCAUAUUCGAUUCACCCAGGAAAUACCAAGAUGUAUUUGGAUUUGAAGGAGACAUUCUGGUGGACCGGAAUGAAGAAGGAUAUUGCAGCAUAUGUAGCAGUUUGUGACGUAUGUCAUAGAGUGAAGGCAGAACAUCAGAAGCCAGCUGGAUUGUUGCAACCAUUGCCGAUACCCGAAUGGAAGUGGGAUAAGAUAGGCAUGGAUUUUAUCACAGGACUACCCAGGACGAAGGCAGGAUAUGACUCGAUAUGGGUAGUAGUUGAUCGUUUGACGAAGGUAGCACAUUUCAUUCCAGUAAAGACCACUUACACCAGUGCUAAGUUGGCAAAGAUAUACAUGACUAGGAUCAUUUGUUUGCAUGGAGUUCCGAGGAGUAUUGUAUCAGAUAGAGGAACCCAAUUUACCUCAAAGUUUUGGAAUCAGUUGCAUGAAACUUUGGGAACCAGGCUAGAGUUCAGCACCGCUUUUCAUCCACAGACAGAUGGACAGACCGAGAGAGUCAAUCAGAUUUUGGAAGAUAUGCUGAGAGCUUGUGCACUAGAUUAUGGAUCUAGUUGGGACGAUAACUUGCCGUAUGCGGAGUUUUCUUAUAACAACAGUUACCAAACCAGUUUGAAGAUGGCACCUUUCGAAGCUUUAUACGGAAGGAGGUGCAGGACACCGUUGUCAUGGGACGAAGUUGGAGACCGUCAGUUGUUUGGACCCGAUUUGAUUAAGGAGUCUGAACGGAAAGUUAAGUUGAUACGCGAUAGGCUCAAGGUAGCCCAGUCCAGGCAGAAGAGCUACACUGAUUCUAAACACAAGGAGACAGUUUACGAAACAGGAGACAGAGUGUAUCUCCGAGUAUCCCCACUUCGAGGAGUUAAACGCUUUGGAGUUAAGGGAAAAUUAGCACCGCGUUUCGUUGGACCUUAUAAGAUCUUACAACGUAUGGGAGAAGUCGCGUAUAAGUUGGAAUUACCAGAGGGACUGUCAGGAGUUCAUGAUGUAUUCCAUGUUUCUCAGCUGAAGAAAUGUCACGCCGAGAUGGCGGAGGUACCGUUAAGAGAUACAGUGCCGCUUGAAGUGAUUCAGUUGAAGGACGACUUAACGUAUGAAGAGAAACCAGUCAAGAUUCUCGAGUUUGCCAGCCGAGUUACCCGCAGCAAGGUUAUCAAGUUUUGCAAAGUUCAGUGGAAUCACCAUUCAGAGGAUGAAGCCACCUGGGAGAGAGAAGAAGAUUUGCUCAAGGACCACCCUCACCUAUUUUCUAGCCAACCCGAAUCUCGAGGGCGAGAUUCAUCUUAAGGGGGGGUAGGUUUGUAACAUCCCAAAUUUUCAAUUUGGAAUGUUAUACACUAGAUCAUCAUGCAUGUCAUAUUUUCUUGCAUUUUGUCGAUCCUAGAAAUUUCACGCAACUCAAGGACCCUCGGAGAGAGUUGGAGAUUUCGUCAUUUUCAUAUUUGAGCUUUCUCAAAUUUCGAAAAGAGGAUCAUUGGAUUUGUCGGAGUUCAUUUGCCUUUUAUUUGGAUAGGGAAAAAAUGCGCGUUUUCAAAAUUUGCAUUCUAGGUCCCGAGAAAAGUUCAUUUUGUUCGACUCAUUUUUAGGAGUCGGGGAAAAUUUACUUUGGGAGUUUUGGAAUUCGUUUAGAUUUUCUUUUCUGUGUUUUUCUGCGCGCGAGACCGUUUUUUUUAAAAAAAAUCGCAGCGCCUGGGCCAAGGCCCAAGCCGCUGGCCAGGCCGGCUCCUCUCCCGCGCGCGCGCGCCUAGCACGCCAGGCCGCCGCCGACGCCACUAGGCAAGAGUCCUAGUAGGACUCUCCUCUCCUCUUUCCUCUCCUUCUCUUUUUCUUGCCCCCUCCCCCAAGUCUCCUCUCCCCUCACCUAUAUAAAUACCAACAC
rnacentral:lncRNA from 1 species